rnacentral:rRNA from 1 species
AUUGAACGCUGGCGGCAGGCCUAACACAUGAAAGUCGAACGAGUGGCGGACGGGUGAGUAAUGUCUUGGAAACUGCCUGAUGGAGGGGGAUAACUACUGGAACCGGUAGCGAAUACGGCAUGACAUGCGAUGUGCGCAGAUGGGAUUAGCUUGUGGGUGGGGUAACGGCUCACCAAGGCGACGAUCCGUAUCUGGUCUGAGAGGAUGACCAGCCACACUGGAACUGAGACACGGUCCAGACUCCUACGGGAGGCAGCAGUGGGGAAUAUUGCACAAUGGGCGAAAGCCUGAUGCAGCCAUGCCGCGUGUAUGAAGAAGGCCUUCGGGUUGUAAAGUACUUUCAGCUGGGAGGCGUUACCAGCAGAAGAAGCACCGGCUAACUCCGUGCCAGCAGCCGCGGUAAUAC